UGCAUACCACGUAAACAGGAUGCAGGAUCAAGUGACUGUAUGGGGUUCAGAAAUGGAUGUUAAUGCAUGUAAACACACCGAUACUUUCCCGUUUGUUGUGGUUGUGACGUUGUGACCAGGAUUAUGCUCAUCUAUUCAGAGAGACAACUCCAAGAUAUCUCAGCCCUUUUCUGCCUAUCUCACGGGUCCGAUAGUGGGCCCCAUUCACAAUGCCAAGUAUGGAUUUCUUUCCAAAUUCUCAACAACAACAAAAUUACCAAUUUCCGACCGAAAUGAUCGAUCAAAGCCGAAAAAUGCGUUUCC